GGUCAGGUGUAGUGGUUAACACCUUUACUAUACAUAUAGAGAAGACCCUGGGUUCAAUUCCCAGUCUGGCCA